CGGCCGCGUCGACCGGCGUACCUUUUGUAUAAUGGGUCAGCGACUUAUAUUCUGUAGCAAGGUUAACCGAAUAGGGGAGCCGUAGGGAAACCGAGUCUUAAUAGGGCGUCUAGUUGCAGGGUAUAGACCCGAAACCGAGUGAUCUAUCCAUGAGCAGGUUGAAAGUGACGUAACAGUUACCGGAGGACCGAACCCACUGUCUUUGAAAAGCCAGGGGAUGACUUGUGGAUAGGGGUGAAAGGCUAAUCAAACUCGGUGAUAGCUGGUUCUCCCCGAAAGCUAUUUAGGUAGCGCCUCGGACGAACACCAUUGGGGGUAGAGCACUGUUUCGGCUAGGGGGUCAUCCCGACUUACCAAACCGAUGCAAACUCCGAAUACCGAUGAGUGAUAUCCGGGAGACAGACGGCGGGUGCUAACGUCCGUCGUCAAGAGGGAAACAACCCAGACCGCCAGCUAAGGCCCCAAAUUCCUAGUUAAGUGGGAAACGAUGUGGGAAGGCACAGACAGCUAGGAGGUUGGCUUAGAAGCAGCCAUCCUUUAAAGAAAGCGUAAUAGCUCACUAGUCGAGUCGGCCUGCGACGGG
rnacentral:sRNA from 1 species